rnacentral:rRNA from 1 species
GGAAGUAAAAGUCGUAACAAGGUUUCCGUAGGUGAACCUGCGGAAGGAUCAUUACUGAUUUAGCGAACCGAGCGUUAGCGAGGUUUUGCGAUCAACUUGUAUUUAAAACCCACUCUUCAAUGUAUAAAAUUUGUAUUAAUGAUAAAUUAAAAGAUCACUUUCAACAACGGAUCUCUUGGCUCUCGCAUCGAUGAAGAACGUAGCGAAGUGCGAUAAGUAAUGUGAAUUGCAGUAUUCCGUGAAUCAUCGAACCUUUGAACGCAUAUUGCACUUUCUGGUAUUCCGGAAAGUAUGCCUGUUUGAGGGUCAGUUAAAUAAAAAUCGGUGUUGUUGCCGCUUUCCGUGGUGACGCGUCGGAAUUGAGUCGUCUUCGGUUAAGUGACUUAAAAUUUUGUAUGAUUUUUGAACGUAUUUAAAUUUAUUUGUACGUUUGAGAUAUCGAAUAUUUAUUAGGUUCGGUCAUUCUAACGACUCGCGCCUAUAAUUUUCCAUUAAAUGACCUCAAAUCAGGUAAGAAUACCCGCUGAACUUAAGCAUAUCAAUAAGCGGAGGA